CCCCAACUCACUCUUCGACAUCCAGGUGAAGCGGAUUCACGAAUAUAAACGACAGCUCCUCAACUGCCUCCAUGUCAUCACCCUGUACAACCGCAUCAAGAGGGAGCCCAAUAAGUUUUUUGUGCCUCGGACUGUGAUGAUUGGAGGGAAGGCUGCACCUGGGUACCACAUGGCCAAGAUGAUCAUCAGACUCGUCACAGCCAUUGGGGAUGUGGUCAACCAUGACCCGGCAGUGGGUGACCGCCUCCGUGUCAUCUUCCUGGAGAACUACCGAGUCUCACUGGCCGAGAAAGGUGGGUGCUGCCAACAGGGACCCUAGGGAGGCUCUGACUAGUUCAGUCUCAGGAAGAGGUAUCAGUCGUCUCUUCCUGGGAUACUUGUACUUGAAAGAAGAAUCUGGAGAGGGCAAUGCUUAAACCAUGAGGAGGCCAGGCGCAGUGGCCCAUGCCUGUAAUCCCAGCACUUUGGGA
rnacentral:sRNA from 1 species